rnacentral:tRNA from 1 species
GUCCCCAUCGUCUAGCCCGGCCCAGGACACCGCCCUUUCACGGCGGCGACGACGGUUCAAAUCCGUCUGGGGACGCCA